rnacentral:rRNA from 1 species
UCCUUAAUGUGCAAACGUUAUUCGGAAUCACUGGGCUUAAAGAGUCCGUAGGCGGCUUGUUAGGUGAGGUGUGAAAUCCCUCGGCCCAACCGAGGAAUUGCGCUUCAAACCGGCAAGCUAGAGGAGGAUAGAGGUGGGCGGAACUGAUGGUGGAGCGGUGAAAUGCGUUGAUAUCAUCAGGAACACCGGAGGCGAAGGCGGUCCACUGGGUCCUUUCUGACGCUGAGGGACGAAAGCUAGGGGAGCGAACGGG